rnacentral:tRNA from 3 species
UAUUAAAUUAUUAUUUUGGCAGAUUAGUGUAAUGAAUUUAGAAUUCAUAAAAGUAAUAUUUUUUUACAAAUAAUAC